rnacentral:lncRNA from 1 species
GUGACCUUACUUCCUUUCCGCUCUCUAUGUGGUAUUAGGAAACAGUGAAAAGACGGCCAUCUGCAAACCAAGAAGAGGGUUCCUGACCGACACCAGAUCUGCCAGUCCCUGAGUCUUGGACGUGUGAGCCUCCAGAAUUGUGAGAAAUGGAUUUUUGUGAAUGAAAGUGAAAUCAGGUUAACCAGUUGCCACUAAUCCAGGUAAAACCAGAGACGGCUGAGAAGUGAGGAGAAUAG